CCUACGGGAGGCAGCAGUGAGGAAUAUUGGUCAAUGGGCGCGAGCCUGAACCAGCCAAGUCGCGUGAGGGAUGAAGGUUCUAUGGAUCGUAAACCUCUUUUAUAAGGGAAUAAAGUGUGGGACGUGUCCUAUUUUGUAUGUACCUUAUGAAUAAGGAUCGGCUAACUCUGUGCCAGCAGCCGCGGUAAUACGGAGGUACCGAGCGUUAUCCGGAUUUAGUGGGUUUAAAGGGGGCGUAGGCGGCCUUUUAAGUCAGCGGUGAAAGUCUGUGGCUCAACCAUAGAAUUGCCGUUGAAACUGGGGGGCUGGAGUAUGUUGGAGGCAGGCGGAAUGCGUGGUGUAGCGGUGAAAUGCUUAGAUAUCACGCAGAACCCCGAUUGCGAAGGCAGCCUGCCAAGCCAUGACUGACGCUGAUGCACGAAAGCGUGGGGAUCAAACAGGAUUAGAUACCCUUGUAGUC
rnacentral:rRNA from 1 species